UACACACCGCCCGUCACACCAUGGGAGUUGAUUGCACCAGAAGUAGGUAGCCUAACCGCAAGGGGGCGCUUACCACGGUGUGGUCAAUGACUGGGGUG
rnacentral:rRNA from 1 species